rnacentral:rRNA from 1 species
AACGAACGCUGGCGGCGUGCCUAACACAUGCAAGUCGGACGAGAAAGUGAGCUUCGGCUCGCGAGUAAAGUGGCAGACGGGUGAGUAACACGUGGGUAACCUGCCCGAAGGUGGGGGAUAACCCUCCGAAAGGAGGGCUAAUACCGCAUGAUAUCCCGGAGGCUUCGGCCAUCGGGAUCAAAGCUAGCCUCUACACGUAAGCUAGUGCCAUCGGAGGGGCCCGCGGCCCAUUAGCUUGUUGGUGAGGUAACGGCUCACCAAGGCGACGAUGGGUAGCCGGCCUGAGAGGGUGAUCGGCCACACUGGAACUGAGACACGGUCCAGACUCCUACGGGAGGCAGCAGUGAGGAAUAUUGCGCAAUGGGCGAAAGCCUGACGCAGCGACGCCGCGUGGAGGACGAAGGCCUUCGGGUCGUAAACUCCUGUCAAGCGGGACGAAAAGUGGUGGGAUGAAUAAGCCCAUUGCUUGACGGUACCGCUGGAGGAAGCCCCGGCUAACUCCGUG